UAAGCAGAUCAAGAUGGUUGCCUCAACUGUGCGCAUUGCCAAUGGUAAAGUGCAGUCAUAGAAGUUUGGGGAGGAAAGUCCGAGCUCCAGCGGAUAAUGUAUCCUGGUAAUGCAGGACAUUUUUUGAACGAUUAAUGCGCGAGUAUUUUUUGUUUGGGAGAUAGGAUUAGAGCUACAGUGACGAUGCCUGCAAUAAUUUAUUAUAUUGUUGCAGGAGUGAAACGAGCAAUCUCUACAUGGAGCAAGGCCAAAUAGUGGGAAAUUCAUUUUACAUGGGCGAAGUGAUCCAUUUCGUUUUUCAGCAAUGAAAAAAAUCUCUGGGUCGGCUGCAAGAGUUUGGAGAGCAAUCUCCAAAGUGAGUUAAAUAACCAUCCUUUGAAUUGAUAUUCAAAGCACAUAACUCGGCUUACUGAUCUGCUUAUAUU
rnacentral:RNase_P_RNA from 1 species